AGCAGUCGCCGCGGUAAUACGAAGGGGGCUAGCGUUGCUCGGAAUUACUGGGCGUAAAGGGAGCGUAGGCGGGUCGUUUAGUCAGAGGUGAAAUCCCGGGGCUCAACCUCGGAACUGCCUUUGAUACUGGCGACCUUGAGGAUGGGAGAGGUAAGCGGAACUCCGAGUGUAGAGGUGAAAUUCGUAGAUAUUCGGAAGAACACCAGUGGCGAAGGCGGCUUACUGGCCCAUUACUGACGCUGAGGCUCGAAAGCGUGGGGAGCAAACAGGAUUAGAUACCCGAGUAGUCCCUGUCUCUUAUAA
rnacentral:rRNA from 1 species